rnacentral:ncRNA from 1 species
UGAAAGUUUGAUCCUUGCUUAAUUUCUUUAUUAUUGAGUUGAUAUACAUGUAAGGUAAAUCUUAUGAUUGCGUCGUUAAAAAUUAUAUCAUUAGAUCUCAGUAUAAAAAAUUGGUCACUAAAAUAAUUUUGAACCAGCAAUUUCAAGAGCUCAGGCUAAAUUUGUGCCAGCAGCCGCGGUUAGACUGACAGGACAAAUAAAGACGUUUAAGUAGGUAGUUCAAGUUAAACAUCUUGACUUAAUGUUCGACUAUAGGGGUAAAGGGUGAAAUCUGGUGCCAUUGACAUGAAGUAGUUAAGCAUUAUCUUGAGAAAUCUUUAAGCUACUAAAGCUUAGAUCUAAAACAGGAUUAGAUACCCUGUUAUACUGAGCUUAAAAUAUGCCGCUUGAGUAGUAAACAGUUAUACCCUCGAAACUUAAAGGAUUUGGCGGUAUCUUAGUCUUGUUAGAGGAAUCUGUUCUAUAAACGAUAAACCACGAAGUAUCUUACUCUCUCUUGUAAUACAGCUUGUAUACCGCCAUUAUUAGAUAGUUUUUAUAAAAAUCUAUUGAAAUAGUACAAAGUUAAUAUAUUAGGUCAAGGUGCAGCUAAUGAGAGAGUGGGUAAUGGAUUACAAUGAUAUAAGUAUAUUACGGAUUAAUAAAUGAAUAUUUGUUCUGAAGGUGGAUUUAAUAGUAAAGCUUAUUUAAUAAGUGGGUUUGAUAGAAGCUCUAAGAUAUGUACACAUCGCCCGUCGCUCUCACUCCUAAUGUGAGAUAAGUCGUAACAUAGUAGGUGUGUUGGAAAAUGUACCUAGAGUUAAAU